rnacentral:rRNA from 1 species
UAGGGAAUCUUCCGCAAUGGGCGAAAGCCUGACGGAGCAACGCAGCGUGAGUGAUGAAGGUCUUCGGAUCGUAAAACUCUGUUAUUAGGGAAGAACAAAUGUGUAAGUAACUAUGCACGUCUUGACGGUACCUAAUCAGAAAGCCACGGCUAACUACGUGCCAGCAGCCGCGGUAAUACGUAGGUGGCAAGCGUUAUCCGGAAUUAUUGGGCGUAAAGCGCGCGUAGGCGGUUUUUUAAGUCUGAUGUGAAAGCCCACGGCUCAACCGUGGAGGGUCAUUUGAAACUGGAAAACUUGAGUGCAGAAGAGGAAAGUGGAAUUCCAUGUGUAGCGGUGAAAUGCGCAGCGAUAUGUAUGAACACCAGUGCCGAAGGCGACUUUCUGGUCUGUCACUGACGCUGAUUUGCGAAAGCGUGGUGAUCAAACAGG